UGAAUUCUCAGAAUGAACACAGACUUCCUUAAAGCAACAUGUCCAGGCUGACUUCAGUCCUUCAUGUAGAAGACUCUCCCUGGUCUGAGAAGAGCAACUGUAUUUGAAUUUGCAAUAAAAGAGCUUCCUAUGUAGUUUCAACGAAAAUGAACUACUGGAUUAUCCUGGAGCCAAGGCAAUUACAGGAAAGUAGGUACUGGUGACAGACAGAGAGUCUACUGGGACCCAAUCAGUAUUCUGAGUUGGUGGUGAUCAGAAAACCUGAAAGAGCAUUGGAAGGAAGAAGAAGGCCAAGUUGAACUCAUCAACUCACUUCACUCACCAAUGUAAGAUUUAAUAGAUUGUCCUCAUCAUUACUGUCUAAUCAUUAUUAUAAAUCUAUGCUAUUUUAUGCUUUAGUUUUUAGUAGACGAUCAUAAUCUAUCAGCUUAAAACUAAACAUACCCAACUUCAAGUACUGGAUACAUUUCUCACCAGGUCAGCAAUUUUGUCAAGACUUCUUAAGGUUUCUAGACGCCAGGAUCAGGUGCUGAAGGCUACCAGUUAAAUGUCACUUAAGGCCUCCCUGUUCUGCGAGAACAAGGGUUGUAUGAACUUGGAAGCUGGAAUGAACCUCAACAUAACCAGAACAAACCAGACACACCAAAGACUCAUUAUUACAAAUAAUCCCUUGAGGUACAGAGAGCUAAUUGAAAAGUAUUUUUAUUAAAUGAUUUCAUGCAUUGAAAUUUCACCAAUUAUCAGAUAUCAAAAUGCAAAAUUAUGUAGUAUAAAGGUGAUAUAACAGUUAAUAGUAGUGUUUAAUUUGGUUUUGUGUGCCGAAACAAUUUUAAACUUUGAACCACUCUCUUCAGAGUUAAAGCACUCCAUCCUGGACCGUGCCUCCUUUGAGGAUCAAGGAGUUCCAAGUUGAAGCAUUCCUUCCAGGAAGAGGUGGGAGGAUCAUGAGGUUCAGAAAGCCAACAAAAUUCAUAAGUAUGAGAAAGCUGAAGCGAAAU
rnacentral:lncRNA from 1 species